GUGUAUAUAGUAUAAGUUUUAUAUUCAAUUUAGGUUUGAAAGAAUUGAAGUACAUAAU
rnacentral:tRNA from 1 species